GCCGGAGUGGCGGAAUUGGCAGACGCGAAGGAUUCAAAAUCCUUUGGCCGUAAAGGCCGUGUGGGUUCGAGUCCCACCUUCGGUA
rnacentral:tRNA from 2 species